UGGCUAUGUAGCUCAGAUGGUUAGAGCACAGCACUCAUAACGCUGGGGUCGGUGGUUCAAUUCCACCCAUAGCCACCAA
rnacentral:tRNA from 1 species